rnacentral:rRNA from 1 species
GAUGAACGCUGGCGACGUGCCUAACACAUGCAAGUCGAGCGAGAAGUAAAGAAAUGAAGCUUCGGUAGAUUUUCAUUAUGGAAAGCGGCGGACGGGUGAGUAACGCGUAGGCAACCUGCCCUGUACAGGGGGAUAGCCACCCGAAAAGGUGAUUAAUACCCCAUGAUGCAAGAGAUACACAUGUAUCACUUGUCAAAGAUUUAUCGGUAUGGGAUGGGCCUGCGUCUGAUUAGCUAGUUGGUAGGGUAACGGCUUACCAAGGCAACGAUCAGUAGCCGACCUGAGAGGGUGAUCGGCCACAUUGGAACUGAGACACGGUCCAAACUCCUACGGGAGGCAGCAGUGGGGAAUAUUGCACAAUGGGGGAAACCCUGAUGCAGCAACGCCGCGUGAAGGAAGAAGGCCUUCGGGUUGUAAACUUCUGUCCUAGGGGAAGAAACAAAUGACAUACCCUGGA